AAAUGCUUUGUUUAUCAUUUUGUAUUUUAUCUUUGAUUAUUAACAUGCAUGGUAAACUAACUAGAAAGCGAUAAAGCUAAGCUAUUACAUGAUUAGGGGGAGGGGGAACAUUUGACCCACAAUGGGGGGAUGGAUCCACACUAUACAAUGCAAAGGCAUGAAAAGAAAACUACACUUUACAAAUUAGAAAAUAAAAAUAAAAGGAAUAACUUGGAGAAUGUUUGGAUCUCUCAUUCACAUGUCACCACAAAAAAAUAACAAGUGGUUAAUAUGCAUUAAUAAAAUGGAAUUAAAAA
rnacentral:lncRNA from 1 species